AUUCCGGUUGAUCCUGCCGGAGGUCAUUGCUAUUGGAGUUCGAUUUAGCCAUGCUAGUCGCACGGGUUCAGACCCGUGGCAGAUAGCUCAGUAACACGUGGCCAAACUACCCUAUGGAGGACCAUAACCUCGGGAAACUGAGGCUAAUAGUCCAUACGACUCUCUCCCUGGAACUGGGUUGAGUCAGAAACGCUACGGCGCCAUAGGAUGUGGCUGCGGCCGAUUAGGUAGACGGUGGGGUAACGGCCCACCGUGCCAAUAAUCGGUAUAGGUUGUGAGAGCAAGAGCCUAGAGACGGAAUCUGAGACAAGAUUCCGGGCCCUACGGGGCGCAGCAGGCGCGAAAACUUUACACUGCACGACAGUGCGAUAAGGGAAUCCCGAGUGCGAGGGCAUAGAGCCCUCGCUUUUCUGAACCGUAGGGUGGUUCAGGAACAAGAACUGGGCAAGACCGGUGCCAGCCGCCGCGGUAACACCGGCAGUUCGAGUGAUGACCGAUAUUAUUGGGCCUAAAGCGUCCGUAGCUGGCCGUGCAAGUCUGUUGGGAAAUCUGCUCGCUCAACGAGCAGGCGUCCGGCAGAAACUGUGCGGCUUGGGACCGAGCGAUCCGAGGGGUACGUCUGGGGUAGGAGUGAAAUCCCGUAAUCCUGGACGGACCACCGAUGGCGAAAGCACCUCGGAAGAUCGGAUCCGACAGUGAGGGACGAAAGCUGGGGUCACGAACCGGAUUAGAUACCCGGGUAGUCCCAGCUGUAAACGAUGCCAGUUAGGUUUGGCGCGGGCUACGAGCUCGUGCUGUGCCGCAGUGAAGACGAUAAACUGGCCGCCUGGGAAGUACGUCCGCAAGGAUGAAACUUAAAGGAAUUGGCGGGGGAGCACUACAACCGGAGGAGCCUGCGGUUUAAUUGGACUCAACGCCGGACAUCUCACCAGCUCUGACAGUAUGCAGUGACAGUCAGUGUGAUGAGCUUACUUGAGCUACUGAGAGGAGGUGCAUGGCCGCCGUCAGCUCGUACCGUGAGGCGUCCUGUUAAGUCAGGCAACGAGCGAGACCCGCACUCCUAAUUGCCAGCAUAGGCUUCGGCCUGAUGGGUACAUUAGGAGGACUGCCAGUGCUAAACUGGAGGAAGGAACGGGCAACGGUAGGUCAGUAUGCCCCGAAUGAGCUGGGCUACACGCGGGCUACAAUGGUCGAGACAGUGGGAUGCAACCCCGAGAGGGGGCGCUAAUCUCCGAAACUCGAUCGUAGUUCGGAUUGUGGGCUGAAACUCGCCCACAUGAAGCUGGAUUCGGUAGUAAUCGCCUCUCAGAAGGAGGCGGUGAAUACGUCCCUGCUCCUUGCACACACCGCCCGUCAAAGCACCCGAGUGAGGUCCGGAUGAGGCCCGGCAACGGGUCGAAUCUGGGCUUCGCAAGGGGGCUUAAGUCGUAACAAGGUAGCCGUAGGGGAAUCUGCGGCUGGAUCACCUCCU
rnacentral:rRNA from 1 species